GGGUGCUUGAGGCUUUUUGUGGCUUCAGGCAUGUCGGGAGUCCAGAAAGUUGAAAGCCCCAGGAGAUAUUUCUAUCAACCUGAGGCUAACGACCAAACCCAACAAUUUGGAUGUUAGCCCCUUCUUUGCAUGGAGGCAAUAACAUGCCGACGAAAUAUG
rfam:Escherichia vulneris NBRC 102420 DNA, contig: EV10242009.